rnacentral:rRNA from 1 species
UACGAAGGGGGCUAGCGUUGCUCGGAAUCACUGGGCGUAAAGGGUGCGUAGGCGGGUCUUUAAGUCAGGGGUGAAAUCCUGGAGCUCAACUCCAGAACUGCCUUUGAUACUGAAGAUCUUGAGUUCGGGGAGAGGUGAGUGGAACUGCGAGUGUAGAGGUGAAAUUCGUAGAUAUUCGCAAGAACACCAGUGGCGAAGGCGGCUCACUGGCCCGAUACUGACGCUGAGGCACGAAAGCGUGGGGAGCAACAGGAU